rnacentral:rRNA from 1 species
UACGAAGGGGGCUAGCGUUGUUCGGAGUUAUUGGGCGUAAAGGGCUCGUAGGCGGUUUGUCGCGUCGGGAGUGAAAUCCACUGGCUUAACUGGUGGCUUGCUUUCGAUACGGGCAGACUGGAGGUAUGCAGGGGAGAACGGAAUUCCUGGUGUAGCGGUGAAAUGCGCAGAUAUCAGGAGGAACACCGGUGGCGAAGGCGGUUCUCUGGGCAUGUCCUGACGCUGAGGAGCGAAAGUGUGGGGAGCGAACAGG